CCUUCUCUCAUAAAGCCUAGAACCCUCUUAGUGUACUUGAGUGUAUUUGGCUUUUCCUUCAACAUAAUCCAUGCAGAUGGGAAAGCCACAUUUUAGGGGCAUUGGAAAGAUAGGCACAUCUUACUGUGUAGUGCUCAAUGUGGAUAUUUGAUGCUCAGGGGCUUUUGGGGCCCCACAUCUGGAAAAUUCAACUGGAAAAUGUAUUAUGCAGAAAGGAAAGUCUCCUUCAAUCCCAUCCUCUGAGAGAGAAUCAUUCUUAAAAUAGGUGAUUUAUUCUGGUU